rnacentral:lncRNA from 1 species
GCAUAUUGAAUCUAAUCUAAACAAACAAACAAAGAUGUGAGUGGAAAGGAAAUGAUCCAAGCUAUGUUCCUAUAAACAAACUAUAAGAUUAAAGGCAAAGUGUUCCCAUUCCUACACCACAUGCAAUUCAAUUAGAGACAGUCCAAAUAAUUUAGACAAUCAAAGUAACUUAAAUGCUUGGGUUUUUGGAACCAUGGGUUGUGAAACCCCAAUUCAUACAACAAUCACCUACGUUCGAGUGUUAGUGAACUUAGGCUCUGAUACCCCCAAAUGUAACACUCUAUACCCGGCCCGAUCGUCAUUCUUGAAUAUCAGGAUGCCACACUACCAUUUCAU